rnacentral:rRNA from 1 species
UCGCGGUAAGACAGAGGAGGCAAGCGUUGUUCGGAAUCACUGGGCUUAAAGCGCGUGUAGGCGGCUUGGAAAGUGUCGUGUGAAAUCCCAUGGCUCAACCAUGGAACUGCACGGCAAACUAUCUGGCUUGAGGUCGGUAGAGGUGCCUGGAACUCUAGGUGGAGCGGUGAAAUGCGUAGAUAUCUAGAGGAACGCCAGAAGCGAAAGCGGGGCACUGGGCCGAUUCUGACGCUGAGACGCGAAAGCGUGGGGAGCAAACAG